rnacentral:rRNA from 1 species
AGAAUCAACGCUGGCGGCGUGCCUAACACAUGCAAGUCGAACGAGAAAGUGGGAGCAAUCCAUGAGUAAAGUGGCGACCGGGUGAGUAACACGUGACUAACCUACCUUUGAGUGGGGGAUAACAUCGGGAAACCGAUGCUAAUACCGCAUAACAUCGCAAGAUCAAAGCAGCAAUGCGCUUAAAGAGGGGGCCGCGGCUGAUUAGCUAGUUGGCGGGUAACGCCCACCAAGGCGAAGAUCGGUA